rnacentral:lncRNA from 1 species
GACGCUGAUUCUCCAGGCCCCGGGCACCCGCAUGUCCGGCGGGACCUGGUACUCGGCCUCGAAGAGGAGCCGAGCUUCGUUCUCGUGAAGGUGGCGGCAGCCGAAGCCGUUCGCCGCCGCGCCGUUACCUGGGAAGCGUUCGGCCAUUCUUUGAGCUGGAGACGGCGAGAGGAGAGGGAGGAAGGGGGAGAAAGGUGGCGCCGGUGGUGGAGACUCUGUGCGUGCCACCAGCGCGCUGGGGAUCGGCUUUAUGUAGGCGGAGGCGCCGCGCGUACGCGUGGCCGCCGCGUUACGUGUGGCAUGCAAGGGGACGCGCGUCGUCUCGUUUUCACUGCACUGCUCGUGAGGCAUCAAUGUCGAAGGCUGACCGGCGCGGCAGCGCGCCGCAGCUUUGGCAUUGAUUCGCCGCGGGAAACGAGGCGAUGAGGAUGACGAAGUGGCGAGAAGCGAGACGAGUCGCUGGCAAGGAGGCCCGCGGCUCUUUCGCGCCAAAAAAGAUUCGCCCGGCGCCCCCGAGCGCCCCCAGCACGCCGGGGUCGGGUUGGGUCCGCCGGCGUCAAAUUCGGUCCAAGCCGACGAAAAUUGGGCCCUUGGGGAUGUAACUGGGCCGAUUUUUUGACGCCGGCGGCCGAAAACUGGCCUGGGAGGCGCGGCUGAAGAUGCUCUAAGCAUGCUGGGGUGAUGUGGACGCUGAGCUUGGCGACUUGGGACGCGUCAACAUUUGGCAAGCAUUACUGAGAGAUUAUUGUACACUUUGGCAAGCAUAGUUGGGCAGAUGCCAAUAAUUUGGCGUUGAGCAAUGGGGGCGGCGUGCGUUUGGUUCACGGCCAAUAUUUUGGUCGCCCGUUCAGUUUUUACAAUCCGCGUGUGGGCGAGCCGCUGGCGCCGAAGUCCUUCGCCAAAACAUUGGCACGACCAAUUUUGGUAGGGCUGCCGUGGGCAGCAUCCAAACAGCCCAAGGUACUCCCUCUGGACGAGAAUAUAAGUCUGGCAUGAAAAUUUAGAUUGUUAAUUUGACUAGCAAAACAUAUAUGUUUAGAAAGUUCAUUCACUGAUUAAUCUGAAACUAUAUAUUUUAUGACAUAACACAUUUACUCACUAAUAAAAUUGAAGACCUGAAAACACGCGCCCAACUUAUAAUCCCAUCCAAGAUAGUACUCGAAAAAGUUGCUUUCUCGAACUGUGGCUGAGCAUGUGGGUUCGCUGCCAUGCGAAUAUCACGAAAACUGUUGGAAUUCUUAUAUUCCCAUAUCUUGUCUUGGAAUGCCAAAAUAGUAGCUUACUCUUGGAUAAUAUUAUGAAGUUAAAUGCCCAUUACUACGGCUAUGUUAAUUGGUAAGAUCUUUUUGACUAAAAGAAACAUACUUCUCCAUUGUAGGAACAUUGACUCUGUAACCGGCAUCCUGUCACUUUUUUUUUUGUGCAAAUACGCAAUAUUGCGUAUCAUUUCAAUAUUUCAUUGGUAGGUAAAGAAUGAAACAACUAAAAGGUGCAACUGACAAAACUACGUGCUGNNNNNNNNNNNNNNNNNNNNNNNNNNNNNNNNNNNNNNNNNNNNNNNNNNNNNNNNNNNNNNNNNNNNNNNNNNNNNNNNNNNNNNNNNNNNNNNNNNNNNNNNNNNNNNNNNNNNNNNNNNNNNNNNNNNNNNNNNNNNNNNNNNNNNNNNNNNNNNNNNNNNNNNNNNNNNNNNNNNNNNNNNNNNNNNNNNNNNNNNNNNNNNNNNNNNNNNNNNNNNNNNNNNNNNNNNNNNNNNNNNNNNNNNNNNNNNNNNNNNNNCCUAUGAAUAAACAGUCAUUUCCUUUUGAUCGGGACUACAUUACAUUUUUUUUUGCGGGAGACUGCAUUUCAUAUUUAAAGUAUGUGUUGCUUUUAUUUCUUGUGGGUGAGGCUAUGUGUGAAUUCUUUUCGGUAUUGCCUUGAUGCAACAUUUGAAGUCAAUAAAAAACUUUAGUAGGAAGACAUGAUGGCCGUUGUUAACGGCUUCUCCAACCUUCGCGGAGAUCAUUUCCAAUUGGUCAACACGGCUAAUAUAGUGCUUAUACCCAAGAAAGAUGGCGCGAAGUACAUCUCGGAUUUCAGGCCCAUUAGCCUCAUCCACGCAGUGGCUAAGAUUGUGGCGAAGAUGAUGACUUCACGCCUUGCUCCUUUCAUGCAUGUGCUAAUUUCCCGCUCCCAGAGUGCCUUCAUAAGGACUAGAAGCAUUCAUGAUAACUUCACGUACGUGCGCAACAUGGCUAGGCGAAUGCACCGGUUGAGGAAGCCUACUCUCUUGUUUAAACUAGACAUCAAAAAGGCUUUUGACUCCGUGCGGUAGGACUAUCUGUUGGAGCUUCUUUGUCGCCGAGGUUUCCCAACCAGAUUCAGAGAUAUGGUUGCUUUCCUUUUGCACUCCUCAUCCUCCAGAGUUCAAAUCAACGGUGUUCCAGGUGGGCCUAUUUGGCAUGGCAAGGGCCUUCGACAGGGAGAUCCGUUCUCACCUCUCCUGUUUGUCCUAGCAAUUGAUCCCAUCCAAAGCAUCCUUGACACUGCCACACGCAAGGGCAAGCUUCACCAGAUAGGUGGGAGGAGCACCCGCAUGUGCACCUCCCUGUACGCAGACGACACCGCAAUCUUUGUGGCUCCCUUCAAGGAGGACGUUCAACAGUUUACCUCCCUGCUGGAGGGCUUUGGUGAGGUCACCGGCCUUGUGACAAAUUUGGAGAAAAGCUUGGUGGCCCCUAUUCGCUGUGAUGGCCUCAAUCUUGACGACAUCCUUGAGUGUUUCCCGGCUACUCGCGCUGCCUUCCCACUGAGAUACCUUGGGCUGCCUCUUUCGGUCCAUCGUUUGUGGAAGGUCGAUCUUCAACACCUCGUGGACAAGGCUGCUGGGAAGCUAGUACCUUGGCAGGGACGGCUCAUCACGACUGUGGGAAGGGCUGAGCUCGUCAAGCCCGUGCUUUCCUCCCUGGCCACCUUCCAUGCCACAACGCUCAAACUUCCGGAGGGUGCUAUCUCCGACUUUGUGGGCAUUGAGAGAGCUUUCCUCUGGUCUGGUUCGGAUAAGGUUUCCGGUGGCCAGUGCAAAGUCAGCUGGAAACUCGUGUGUAGACCAAAGAGGCUUGGUGGGCUGGGUAUCCUUGAUAUUCGUAUGUAUGCCCGGGCUCUGAGGCUGCGAUGGCUCUGGUAUGAGUGGAAGGAGCCGCACAGGACAUGGGUGGGCAUCGGAAACCCAUGCGACACCACUGACAGAGAUCUAUCAUAUGCUGCCACGACAAUCUCUGUCGGCGACGGUAGGAUGGCACGUUUCUGGCUUUCCCCAUGGGUAGAUGGAACGAAGCCCAAGGACAUUGCACCGACCAUUUUCGCGAUCUCUGCCAACAAGAACAAGUCCGUGCGAGAAGCCUUGCUUGAAAAUCAUUGGAUCCAAUGGAUCAACAUGUCCGGAGGUCUCUCGGUGGAACACAUUGACCAGUUCUGCGCCCUUUGGGGGAAGCUCACUAUGGUACACCUAUAGGACGACCUACCCGAUUAUAUCAAGUGGAACCUCACCGCCGACGGUAUCUAUUCCUCGACCUCGGCCUAUAGGGCCCAAUUCGAGGGUGCGAUCGCCCCCAACAUGACCACGAUGGUGUGGAAGAACUGGGCUCCGCCCAAGUGCAAGUUCUUUGCAUGGCUAGUUAUCAAGGAUAGAAUUUGGACGGCCGACAGACUGCAAAGAAGAGGGUGGCCCAACUGCAAUUUGUGUCAACUUUGCAAGAGGGAGCCAGAGACCACAACUCACCUUCUCUUCCAAUGCAGGUUCUCUGCCCGCAUUUGGAAUGCAAUCAGAGUUUGGGUGGAUGCCCCUGAACUGGAUGUGGCGGCCUGGAACGGGAUCCCGCCAUAGUCAAAGAGUGGUGGUCGGCAGUGGUCCUUAGGCGUGGACAUAGGAGGAAGGCGAUUUCAUCACUCAUCAUGCUUAUUACUUGGGAAGUGUGGAAAGAGAGAAACGCGAGGGUGUUCGAGCAUGUAUGUAGGUUGCCAAGAGUGUUAGUCGAGGCUAUUAAAGUGGAGGCGAGGCUCUGGAUUAUCGUAGGGGCGAAGCAUUUGGGUUCUUUGAUGCCGCGAGAGUAGGACUGUAUUUUUUUCAUUUGUGUGAGGUGUAAUGACCCUCUGCAGACUUUGUUACCCCUUCUUUUUAAUGAGAUGAGGCAAAGCUUUUGCCUCCGUUUAAAAAAAAUUAAAAAACUUCAAUAGGCAAUAAUGAUGUAAAAAAAUGUAGGUGUGCUUUGAAAUGUGAAAUAAAACCGUACACCAACUUAGCAGAAAAACCUUGCAGAAAUAUGCACGAGCCAUAAAAAAGGUAUGCAUUCUAUAUAAUUGAUGUACUUAGGUAGUUUUUUUGAAAAAAAAAGAAUGUAAAUUCCUUUUUUGUCCAGUACACACUUUUUAAAGGAGUUCGCUAGAUGUUCAUAUAAACGUAUUUUACAUGUUGUCAUUUUCCAAGUAGGUAGCGCCCAUUGUCACUGUUUCGUUUUUUUAAAGAAUCCAGAUCCAUUAUAAAAGUUCAUCGAAAAUAUAAAAUUACACCGAUAUUUCGAGGACCCAACGACCACUACCGCCGUCGAACGAGUUGUCGACGACCGUUGUCGCCGCUCCCCUAUUAGAACCGGCUUGACCUUGUCGAUGAUAGCCGGGAAGUUUUCAUGCACAUGCCUCUAAGAACCAACGUCCUGAAACUGCAGUCGCCAUUGAACUCUUGAAUAGAUCUGAAGCACCUAACAUCAAAUCUCGUCAUACAGAAACGCCAACCUCACUGCUCAAAAGAGACGACAGGAAUCUACUGGAACUCCGUCGACUACGUCCAGACGGACGGACUCGAGGAGAACUAGAGCCUUGAGGACAAAUUCAAAUAAGAAGCACCGUCAUCCGCCUGAACACCACACCAACGAGGAUUAAAAUUCUAACAUAAACUAUUAACCGGAGCAAAGACACCGGGAUUCCCCUUCUGCCACUGAUCGCCGGAGCGACAAGCAAACGGGAGAUAAAUCCACGUGCUCCCCGGUGAAGCCUGAAGAGGAGAGUUCGCCCUAGCUACAAGACAUAGUGGAGGAAACGCUAGAGCCACACCCCUUUUAUCCACCUUUUCAGUUUUAGACCAACCAAGUGUGCUUUGAACUCUGUCAACAUGUUUGCAUACGCCACCGGCUGACUAAUUUCAGUUCACUCACCGCAGGAAAUCAAUAAAAUAAAAUAUAUACACCAGCUCGCUAACCGUAAAAAAAGAGGAAAGUAGAUGGCGUAGAUGCGUCCAGCCAAUUCAUGAUCCAUUGGAACACCUCCUGCAUGGGUUAGGUGCCGCGUCGUGGGAAUAAAAGGAGAGCACAUGACCAUUUUACGUUAAUACAUCACAAUAUAUUAAAACGAUGUUGUUACUUUCUUGGAACCUUUAUUUUCCAUUUUCUCCUCAUAAAUCUUCUUGUGAACUUGUUUGGUACCCCUUGUGGCUUGGAAUGAAAGUGUUUAGGUAGGCAUAAGCCCACCGUAGUCCCAUUUAAAAAAACAUUUGUGAAAUCAUGUGUAGUCUCAGUCAUCCGGGCUGCCACAUCGUGUGGUAUUAAACGCCUUCUAUCUUUAUUUGAAAAGCAGAAUACGUACCAUAUGUUUCACAUUUUUGCCACACCGAAAAAUAAUGUUAGGAUGUUGCACAUAUACAAUAGUUGUCUUGAAAUGCAUCUAAACACAAUCAAUUUGGAUGAGUUAAAAUGCAAUGACUUUUAUCUUCUUGCUCAACCAUGAGUUUUAUGUCUAGCCGCUCUCCCAUCAGGCCAAACCAACGCCCUUCCCAUUCAUGGCUAGCACCGCUACCACAUUGCCUCAAUGCAUUGUCCUCCUGUAGCCACCAUCUUACCGCUAGCCUAGGUCAUCUUUCUAACCCUGCAGCGCCUCGCCGUCUUCUCCGACGUAGAUGUCUCAAUUCAGACCCCCUAACCCCACCUGCGAAUCUUAAUCCUUGAUGUCAUCUCCACUUCAAAUCUUUCACAGCCUUUGGCUCGGUCUAGACUUGCCUCCGCUACAUAUUGUCCGACUAUUUGGCUCGAUGACCACAAAACACGAACAAUACAUAUAUGUGAUGACAAAACCGGACUAUGAUUUCGCGAAAUUGCGGUUGACUACGAUACAACAAAGCCCAUUUAAGAAAAACACUCAACCAUGCGGUCGCACUACCAUGUCCCUGUCCCUUGUUCUUAGAGGAGUGGCAGAGAAGCACAGUGGAUGUGUAUGCGUGCAGGCCGAUGAUGCCACAGCAGUUGUGUAAGGGGAGAUGAGACGAGUAGGAAUUUGGUGGCCCGGGGGUCGGAGGGAGUCGGCUACCCUAAGAAAUUGCCUCUUACCGCACUACCACUUUGUCAGUGCAUCCUCCACCUUUGUCCUCGCCGUCACAUAGCACAACCCACUCCGUGAACUCAUCCACCUUCCAACACAACCACAACAACAUGUGGGACCGAAAAGCCCUAGGAAAAAUAAAUCCACGCAUUAACUGGUAGGUGGGCCAGCCAGCCAAACGAGGAAAAUAACGCCUAGAGCCUUACAGCCAUGGCCCGCAAGACCCCCUACAGGCCCGACGCAUGAGAGAGCUUCAUUUUGUGUGACGCCGGUAACUUAGAAGAUGGCACAUUUGAUAUUUCACGUCUUGCACGACAGGGGAUAGUGCUAGGCGGUUGCAUAUACGAUAGUCGCCCGAAAACACGCCAAACACAAUCAAUUUGGACGAGUCUGGAACCCAACGACUUUUAUCCUCUUUGUAAACCGCCAGCUCAACCUCUGGUGAUUCGUCCUCCAGCCCAGCCCAACCAGCGGCCUCUAACUCCCGCACCGUGAAUGUUCAUCCUCGCCACCACAUCAUCUCCACCGCGCAUCACCGCUGCUUCCGCCUCGUUCCAAACUUACCUCUAAAGCUCAACAAACACAAAAAUCAUAAAACAAUUUGUGUAAACAUAAAACCAACUAGUACAAUUUCAUGGAAUUACAGUGAGCGAGUGUGAUACAGCAGGAGGCCCUUUAAAAGAAAAGACCAGCACUCAGCCAUCCGGUCGCACCACCCUGUCCCCGUCCCCGUCCCUUGUGCUCAGCUCAGCGGGGGUGGCCAGAGAACCACCGGCCAGCGCACGCCGGCCCGGCCUCCCAUCACCGCCGUCCAUCCCUCCCUCGGACGGCCGAGAUCGCCCUCUCGCCCCCACAAACCAAACCCCGCACGUCCUCUCGUCGACCUCCACUUGCUCGCGCCCGCCCCCGCCCCCGCGUCGUCCGUCCACUCGUUGCUUCGUCUUCUUCCUCGCACCCCCUCCUCCCCCAGAUUAAAUCCGGCUAUUUAAAUCGAACCCCCCAACGAACUCCCACUUUUCCCCAGCGGCGUCAGCGGAGGAGCAGCGAGCGAGAGAGGAGCCAACCCUAGCGCGCGCGCGCCAUGGGAUAGGUAGGGGCUCUCGGCGGGCCAUGGAGUGGGACAGCGACUCGGACGGCAGCGGGGAGGAGGACGAGGAGGAGGAGGAGGGGGAGGAGGGGGCCGGGCCGUGGGGCGCGGAUGGGUGCCGGGGCGGCGGCGGGUUCUCGCUGGCGAUCGAGGGCGUGCUCGGCGGCGCCUGCGGGCUCGUCGUGUCCGACGCGCUCGAGCCCGACUUCCCCAUCAUCUACGUCAACCGCGGCUUCGAGGACGCCACCGGGUACCACGCCGAGGAGGUGCUCGGCAGGAACUGGUGAGUGCCCCCCUGCCUCUCAGCCCGCCGAUUUUGUCUUCCGUGACUAGUUACGGUCUGGGCGUGCUGCGAAUUCGAGCUUCGGCCGGCCAUGGCGCGGGCGGCGUUGGUUGGUGCUUUUGGGGGAUCUGAGUACAUGCUGCUAUAAUACUAGUUACUGGAUUGGAACUGACUUAGUGGAACUUAGAGCAGGAACUAGUAGUUCAAUUGGUUUGCAAUCAAAAUUAGUUAGGCGGAUACUAGUAUAUAUAUUCUGUUUGGCGAUUCAUCACCAUCAGUGUCAAAUUAGGGAGAUGGUUAUUGAGAGAGACGAUCCCACCGGUUUGUGCUACAAUUGGGCCCGUAGAACACUUACUAUUCAGGUGCUCGCGAGGAACUGGUGAGUGCCCCCCUCUGCCUUUCAGCCUGCUGAUUUUGCCUUCUGUGAGUAAUUACGGGUUGGGCUUGCGGCGAAUUCAAACUUUGGACGGCCACACGCCAUGGCGCGGGCGGUGGUGGUUAGCUUUUUGUGGGGGAUCUGAGUACAUACUGCUAUAAUACUGGUUACUGGAUUGGAACUAAUUUAGUGGAACAUAGAGCAGAACUCGUAGUUCAAUUUGUUUGCAAUCAAAAUUAGUUAGGCGGAUACUAGUAUAUAUAUUCUGUUUGGUGAUUCGUCACCAUCUGUGUCAAAUCUGGGAGAUGGUUAUAGAGGGAGACGAGCUCACGGUUUGUUUGCCCUACAAUUGGGCCCCUGAUCGCUUACUUUUCAGUGCUUUGUAUUUGAUGGAUUUCAAUGAGGGAGAUACAUACAUCUAGCUUCACACUGAGAACGUAGAUCUACCUCCCCACUGGGAACAGUGAAGGAAGCCAUAUUGUAGUUAGGAGUCAGAGUAUUAGUUAUGGUUCGGGCAUGCGGCGAGUUCGAGCUUUGGCGACACGCCAUGGGUGUGUGGGUGGUGUUGGUUUACGUUUUGUGGGGGAUCUGACUCUGAGUACAUGCUGCUAAUUCUAGGUAUUGGAUUGAAAGUGAUUUAGUGGAAUAAAGAGCAGGAACUAGUAGUUCAAUUUUGCUUUACAAAAUUAGUUAGUGUAUACUAGUAUAUAUAUUCUGUUUGGUGCUGAUACCAUCAGUGUCAAAUGAGGCAGAUGGUUAGUGAGAGACAUGAGUCACCGUUUGUUUGUGGGUGCUGCAGUUGGGCCCAUGAAUACUUAUUUUUCAGUGAUUCAUAUUAGGUGAAUUUCGAUGAAAGAGAUACACACAUCUAGCUCCACUCUGAGUCUCCGAGAACAUGCAUCUAAUUCCCCACUGAGAACAGUAAAGGAAGCCAUAUCGUAGUUAGGAGUCCAGAGUAUUUUAGUCCAGUUAAGGGCUUUGUUGACACGGAAAAACCAUCAACUGGAAUCAUGAUGUUAAUGUUAAUUACUUAAAGCAUCAGAAGCAUCAGAAAGAGAUCAUACUAACAAUUAAAGUGAUAUGUGGUUGGUUAGCUGUCUAUCUGCUCUUCUCCUCCAACAAAAACUAACCAGUUAGUUACUAUAUGGUUGCACUUCUAUGAUGAGUUAUCUUUGUCUUCAGGUGUUGCGCUCCUCUUAAUUAUUCAUUGGAAAUUGAUUUAGGAUGGAACACCUGUCUGCUUUUUAUUAGGAUGUCAGUCCUCUUUGAGUUUAAAUAGUGUGAAAUAACUAGAAUAUUUGUGGAUUCUAUAAUCAACUCUUAGUUUUUAACACUACCUUUAAUUUUACUUGCCCUUCCUCUAGUAGCACUUCCCUGGCUGGUGACCUUCUAUUUUGAAAAAAGUUAACUCUAUCAGUUUUUUUUUGCUGGAAGUGUGGUCUAAGAUUAAAUAUUCAGCUAGUCAACUGUCUUAGGUUUGAAAAUGUUAUGCUAUGUGGAGAAGCAGUAAGAAGGAUCACCAAUUUAGCAUCAGGUCUAAUUAUUAUUUAACAAAGCCGAGCAGAAAGGAAAAUGAUCAGAGUUUGUGGUUGAUGAUGUUUGAGAGAUGUGGCUAUAUGUUCAUGAAACGGUGUUCACUUGACAAAACAUCAUAAUGCUGUUCCAAAAAUAUUUCUCUUGUUAGAAUAAAUUAAAUAAUGAAACGUCAAUGUAAAAGCUGAAACAGUAACUAAUACUUGGUUAAAGGCUCUCUGCCUGAUAUACAAGAGUUCUUUUUACAAGUAAUGUGUGUGUGCACAAGGCAGGAUUAGAUGAACAUCAAAUGUUUUAGAGGAAGGUAAACAAAAUCCAUUAGAUCGUUCAGCGCUGUAAACUGUUCUACUGAUACAACUGUUUAGAAGUUGUCUGGAUACACAUAUGCACUCCUAUGUUGUUUAUGCAAGAUAAUAGUGGUAGCUUUGGUAGAGGUGGCUGAACUAAUGGUGGUCUUCAGUGUUAUGGGGGCUAAAGUAGUUAAGACAACUCAUUUUUGGGUGUUUAAAUAGUGAAGUCGUGAGGAGCUCCUGAGCAUAACUUGUUUUGCUGACGUUAUUACUUAUCAUACCAUCAUGGACAGAAAUAAAAGAAAUAGAACAUAUAGUCGAGCUAUUAAUCAACUUGCUAGCAACACCAAGAUACAUUUCAUCUUUGCUAAUGUAAUACUAUAUUUGGUCAAUUUCUCAACGUUUGAUUUCGAUUUUGAGUUAUCAUGUAACUUAGUUGAACAUGUUACAUUCGCCAUUUUACUUUGCUUAGUUUACCUCUGUUAUUGACAAUUGUUUUGGUAUUUUUUUCUGCAGCCGGUUUUUGCAAUGCAGAGGACCAUUUGCUCAGAGGAGACAUCCCCUUGUUGAUGCUAUAGUAGUUACUGAGAUUCAGAGAUGCUUAGAAGAAGGAACUGAGUUCCAGGGUGAUCUGCUGAAUUUUAGGAAAGAUGGUUCUCCAUUUAUGACGAGUCUGCAACUAAAGCCCAUAUAUGGAGAUGACGAAACAAUAACCCAUUAUAUGGGCAUUCAGUUCUUCAACGAUUGUAAUGUUGAUUUGGGGCCUUUGCCUGGCUCUAUGGCAAAGGAAGUUGUGAGAUCAGUAUGGAUUACACCAGAUAAUACUCUACGGCCAAGUCCAACAGGGAAGGGUAACUUUUGCUCUGAGUAUUCUCAUCUCUUCCAACUGAGCGAUGAGGUACUGUGCCAGAAGAUCCUAUCAAGAUUGUCACCUAGGGAUAUAGCAUCUGUAAACUCUGUAUGUAAACGUUUGUAUCACAUGACAAAGAAUGAUCACCUUUGGAGAAUGGUUUGUCAGAAUGCAUGGGGCAACGACGCAACUCGGGCUCUUGAGAAUGUGGCUGGCACAAAAAGUUUGGCAUGGGGACGGCUAGCGAGGGAGUUGACUACACUGGAAGCCGUCACCUGGAAGAAAUUGACGAUCGGGGGUUCAGUGGAGCCAUCUCGCUGUAACUUCAGUGCUUGUGCUGUAGGAAACCGUGUUGUCCUGUUUGGUGGGGAAGGUGUUAACGCACAGCCGAUGAAUGAUACAUUUGUGCUGGAUUUGAGUGCGAGCAAGCCAGAGUGGAGGCACGUCAAUGUGGGGUUGGCUCCUCCUGGCCGCUGGGGCCAUACCCUGUCAUGCCUAAAUGGAUCGCUGUUGGUUCUGUUUGGUGGAUGUGGAGGCCAGGGCCUGCUCAAUGAUGUGUUUAUUCUGGAUUUGGAUGCAAAACAUCCUACAUGGCGUGAGAUUUUUGGCCUUACACCACCGGUUCCACGGUCAUGGCAUAGCUCUUGCACACUGGAUGGAUCGAAGCUGGUGGUUUCUGGUGGCUGUGCCGACUCUGGUGUGCUCCUCAGUGAUACUCAUCUUUUGGAUGUGACAAUGGAAAGGCCUGUUUGGAGGGAGAUACCUGCACCUUGGACUCCGCCUUCUAGGUUGGGGCACUCGCUCUCUGUCUACGAUGGCCGGAAAAUCCUGAUGUUUGGUGGCCUUGCCAAAAGCGGCCCUUUGCGACUCAGGUCUGGUGAUGUGUUCACAAUGGACUUGAGUGAUGCUGCGCCGUCCUGGCGGUGCAUCACCGGUAGCGGAAUGCCUGGAGCCUGCAACCCCGCUGGAGUUGGUCCGCCUCCUCGCCUUGACCAUGUUGCCGUGAGCCUUCCCGGAGGGAGAAUUAUGAUAUUUGGUGGCUCGGUAGCAGGUCUUCAUUCCGCUUCACAGCUCUACCUCUUAGAUCCGACCGAAGAGAAACCUACCUGGAGAAUACUGAACGUUCCAGGGCGACCUCCGAGGUUUGCAUGGGGACACAGUACGUGUGUCAUGGAAGGAUCAAAGGCAAUAGUUCUUGGAGGACAAACUGGAGAAGAGUGGACGCUGACUGAAAUACAUGAGCUCUCUUUGGCGAGCUCAUUAGUAUGAGACCAGAAAGUCUCCAGCAAAGUUCACAGGUACUCUUGUGGCAGAUUAGUUGUGUAUGCUUGGAAGGCUAGUCUCAAGUAGAUCAAAGCCGGCUACUCCCGCAAUGUCCCGGAGUCGCCCCCCGUUGUCUAUGAAGUAGGAACAUGUUCUCUCUGCUUUUGCUGCUGCUGUCUGUUUGGUCUACUACAAGGUAACUAAUCAUCAUCCAUAACCCUCAAUGUGUGUUGUUCUCGUCAGAUGUUUCCAGCACUCUGAUAUGGAAACAAAAGGGACUGGCGUCGUAUACCUGGAGUCUCCGGUGCAACACUUCUGUGGCACUGCCGUCGUGACACAUGUUGUAAUUGGUCCUGAAAUUCCGACCGCCCGCCGGUUAUGUUGAGCUUUGCUUUUCUGUACCUUGUAUGUUUUCCGCGAGCUGCUUGGUUACUCCUCUCACAUUGUUUGUUUACUAAUACCGCUGACAAAAACUUUUCAGUUUAUACCUUUGUAAGUUGUAAUUCUGAUUGUAGCUAAAAAGUUAUCAGGACUGGUUGUAUGGAAAA